GGCUUCGCCGAGCAGCCAAUAGGGAGCCAGGGGGGCGGUGGUCCUGACCUAUCACGCCGGGGGAGGUGCCGCGCGCCCAAUCGGAGGCCGAUACAGGUAGCGGCGCAGCCAUUCACCGUGCAGGCCGUGGGGCAGGCCCGAGCGGCGAAUCAGGAAGCAGGGCCCCUAGGAGCCUGCGAGCCGGCCAAGACGGCGCCCAAUCCGGGACGAGCGCAGGUAGGUGGCUAACCAAUCAGAGAAAAGGAGGGUUUCAGCACACAACAGAGAGCAGAACAGCCAAUCAGAAGGUGAGGCCGGCUCGCGGUGUGGGCAGGGCGGGCCAAUCACCCGCUAGCUUGGGGGGCGUGUUGAACUUUGGUGGGAGCUUUGGUUUGGUGGGGACGUGUACCGAGUGAAGGCUUCCUCGAUACCGGGAGCCAGCCCGGGGUCGACAGGACUUGAGCGCCUGUCAGAGCGCAUGCUCGAAGCGGGGAGGCAACCUCGGCACUAUGGAGUCUGAACUCACCUACUUUUAGUUAUGAGUUAACUGAGGCCAGAGACCCAGAGGGGACUUAUUUUCCUUUGCCCUUUACUGACUGCCAACGGAGCAAAUCACACAAAACUGACAACCUUUCCAUUAAAGGUUGGGGGUGGGAUGGGGGAAGGAACUCCCGGGUCGGGGCUCACAGUCGGCCCCCUGAAUGCUUUAUGGAAGCUUAACUGAUGUCGAGUGGAAGCGUAAUUGAAAUUAAAAGACUCCGUUCCUCAUUUCAUUCAAUUAACACAGAUUUAUUGAUUCAGUCCCGUUUAUGCUGCUUAAUGAGGCAUCUUGGGAGCAUUUUAAACAAGAGGCGGGUUUUCCACCUAUACCUCAGUUUUCCCAAAACAUUCCUCUCAUUGUCCUACAGGCCUUGCAUAAAUACCACACCUUACCACCCACCUCUCCCUCUCCCACCCUCACUCUCUCUUGGGCUAGAUUGCAGUGCUUACAGUCAGGUAAAGUGUCGUUGAGCCUUUUCACAUGCUGUUCCAGUCUGUCUCAGGUGUCUGUCCUCACUUAGAGGUUUCCAUGGCCAGGAGAGGGGCCUCCACUGGGCUCCCACAGUUGCAUCCCAGUUGCAUCCUCUCUCCUACCCCCGCACUGACCACACUGGACUGUAAUUGGCUCCUUGUCUGUCUCUCAACAGUAAACAAUGGUUCUCUGAAUUCAUGCAGCGCCGAGAUCAGCUUGUAGAAAAUGGGCCCUGGAUUGAUCCAGUAGAUCUUGGGUUGCAGCCUUGGAGUCUACAUUCUUAUGUCCCCUGGGGCUCUGAUAUAAGUGGUUGCAGCCACAACUGGAGAAGACCUGGGCAGCAUGAAGACAGGGCCUGUUACGUAUUGGAGACAGGCCCAGGCCGAUGCUAGAACAAGUGCCGGAUAAAUAGCCUAAGUGUUUAUGAGAAGUGAGAACACAGCAGAGAAUUCCGCUGACUCUGUGAGCCAGCCAGGCAGCAGGACCCCCAGAUCGAGAACCAGAGCCCCAGGAGCUCCUGACACCCCUUCUCAUCACCCCAGCGUGACCACCAUCCCAUCUGCUAGCACCAUACAUGAGGAGCCAGUGCGGGGUCCCAUGAGAUGGGAGAGAUGACAGCACAGACCUGCCAUGUGGAUGAGGAGCUGGGCUGUGCAGGCAUGAAUGCUGUGAGGGGAACCAUGGGAAGCUGAAGGAGCCGCCUGCCUCCUCCCUGAGCUGAGGGGUGGAGCAGUGAUGCCCCUGGUAUCUCUCUGAGCAUCCUGGGAGGUGCUCCAUCCUUAGUCACUCGUCUUAGCUCCACUACAGCCUGGGAGGCAGUUCUUAAUGCACCCAGUUUAUAGCUGAGGACAGUAAGGCUCUGAGCGUCUCACCAUUUGCCAAGUCAACUGGCUAGUGUGUGACAGAGCCACGAUUUGAAUCCAGGUCUGCCUGAUGGGCAGGCCCAGGUUCUGAACCACCCUGCAUCUCAUUAACCAAACUGCAGGCUGCCUCCUCCCACUGCCCAGAGGAGUCCUCAGACAAGUCGCAGCUGUCCCGGGCAGGGCAGGCCUUUCACUUUGGCCUCUCCUCUGGAAGGGAGUUCACAGACAGUGCGGCCCCCGGAUUAGAGGCACAAUGUCUUACUCUGUGCACCACACCCCAGCCACCCUGGCAUGCGCUCAAAGUCCCUAGGAAAGAACUCUUCCCCUCUCUGGGCCUGUUUCCCCGAAAUGUGUCAGCUGCCGCCCUCUAGAUUAGAGGUUUGUUUAUGCACUUCCGGGACUAUUUGAGCUCCUAGGCGGUGCCAGACCACGUCCGUCUGGGCAUCAAGGAUGAAGGGAGAAAGAUGGAGAGGAGCAAGGUGCUGCCAUCGAGAAACUGUCCUUCCCACAGAGGAUGUGGGACUCCUGGAUCCUAAAGAUGCCAGUAAGAAAGACAAAUGGUCUCAAAGUAGAAGUGACAGUUUUGGCUUCAAAACCUCUGAGAGGAGCCAUUCACUGUCUGUGUCUUAGCAUAGAGGCUUCUAGAAGUCGGGGCCUAGCGUUCCAAACACCGUGGAGCCAAGUCCUCGAGACACAUUGUCUGGCUCAGUCUCCCAAGCCACAAGCUCCCCUGGUUUGUGGCAUGUGCUGAUUUCCAUGGUGUAAAUACUCUCUCCUGUGGCCACUUGCCAGCCACCAUCGUGAUGGUACUGAACAAGGAGUUAGGAAGAGAUGCACAGUCCGCUCUCGCUAGCAGAUGGGGUGCAAGCCGGCUCCGGAGCCUCCACCGCUGCCUGUGCAGCACCUGGCGCAGUGCUUGGCACACAGCAGGCGCACAGGAAAUACUUGGUGGACAGAUGAUCCUUCUUCACCUGUCCUGUCCCAUUUGCGCCCUGGGAGCCAUUUAUAUUGUAAUCGAAACCACUGUUUACUGAGCACUUGAUGUGAACCACAGAUUGGGCCAAAGACGACACUACGACACUACGAGAUCUUACCCUCCACACCCCCCCCCAGGCUGCACGAGAAUCAGUCUCACAGGCGAUGCAGCAGAAGCCCUACGGGUUCAGAAGCCCUACGGGUUCAGCCCUACGGGUCCACGCUGGGGCUGCUGUGUAUUCGCUGUAUGUGCACUGGGGUGGUCAUCCUCCACUCUCAGUUUCCCCUUUCAUCAACAAGGGGGCUGGCAUCAGUUACCUACUGCUGUGUAACAAGCCAGUCCCAAACCUAGUGCCUUAAGACCAUCACCAUUUUAUUCAAGAUCUGCAACUUGGCUGGCUCAGUUCUGCUGGGUCACUCAUGCAGCUGGUGACUCGACUGGGCCUGUGUGGUCCAAGGGGCCUCCCUCAAAUCUGACCCUUAGCUGGGGCUGCUGGCCCGGGUGCCACAUUCUCCUUCACGUGGCCUCCAGCAGAAGAGCCAAGGUUUUCAUGGCCGCAAAUACUCUCCAAGAGGGCGACCCCAGUGCACCAGAGCUCGCCAAGCCUCUGCUUGCAUCACGUCACUCUUGUUCCACUGGCCAAAGCAGGUCACGUGGCCGAGGUCAGAGCUGCCAUGGGAGAGGCCUAUACAAGGACAUGGAUUCCAAGAGGCACGAUUCGUGGGGGCCGUGACUGUAACAGUCCACCGGCCGCCACAGAAAUAAGGGGGCCAGGAUUCCCCUGAGGGCCUUCCCAGACCUGGUGUCUGGUAUUCUGAGCUUCCUGGGACUUGUUAUGCUAGAAAGGAAGUUCUCCAAGACUGAUUCAGGGUGUGUGGCGGGGGGAUGGCAAAAGGGCCCAGGAGCCAGCUCAAACGGACUCCCACUGGGAAAAUUUGUGACCAUCUGAACAUCAGAAAACUGAUUGUAACUGAUUGUAAAUAUCAAACAAAUAAUAACCCACGAGUCCACAGUGGUAUUCAAAACGGAAGAGGUAAAACUCUUUGCGGAAUGCUAUUCGGCAACAGAGAAAUAAAAUACUGAUACGUGCCAUAGAAGGGAUGAAUCUCAAAACAGUAUUCUAUGUGCACAAGCCAAGCACAAAAGAUCACAUGUUGUGUGACUCCACUUACAGGAAAUGUCUGGAAAAGGCAAGUCAUGAGAGAAAGUAAAUUGGUGGCGGCCUGGGGGCUGGGGGAUUCACUGCAGUUGAGCAUAAGGGGUCUUUUGGGGUGAUGGAAACACUCUAAAACAGGGGUCCCCAACCCUU